UGAAAGAGUAGUAAACUCAGUGCUCCG
rnacentral:piRNA from 1 species